AGCUUGAAGUUAAAUAUUUUAAGUAAAACCUGCCCAAUGAUAGAUUAUUUAAUGGCCGCAGUACUUUGACUGUGCUAAGGUAGCAUAAUCAAUUGUCUUUUAAUUGAGGACUAGAAUGAAUGGGUUAAUAGGGUGAUACUGUCUUUUUUAUACUUAUUAGAAAUUAUUAAGAAGGUGAAAAUACCUUCCUUUAAGAAAAAAGACGAGAAGACCCUAAGAAUUUUAAUAAAAGUUACUUUAUAAUAAUUUUUUUUUGUUGGGGCAACAAGAUAACAAGUAACCUAAACUUAUCUUUUAAUUUUUUUACUUCACUUAACAAAAUAUUAUUAUUUAGAUAAAAUUACCUUAGGGAUAACAGCGUUAUUUCAAUUGAAGAUUGCGACCUCGAUGUUGGACUAGGAACCUAAAGAUUAAAAAUUGAAAGGGAUUGUUCUGUUCGAACUUUUAUCUCCU
rnacentral:rRNA from 1 species